AGAGACAGCAGCAGCCACGGUAAUACAGAGGGUGCGAGCGUUAAUCGGAUUUACUGGGCGUAAAGCGUGCGUAGGCGGCUUUUUAAGUCGGAUGUGAAAUCCCUGAGCUUAACUUAGGAAUUGCAUUCGAUACUGGGAAGCUAGAGUAUGGGAGAGGAUGGUAGAAUUCCAGGUGUAGCGGUGAAAUGCGUAGAGAUCUGGAGGAAUACCGAUGGCGAAGGCAGCCAUCUGGCCUAAUACUGACGCUGAGGUACGAAAGCAUGGGGAGCAAACAGGAUUAGAUACCCCGUAGUCCCUGUCUCUUAUACA
rnacentral:rRNA from 1 species